rnacentral:rRNA from 1 species
GAUGAACGCUGGCGGCGUGCCUAAUACAUGCAAGUCGAGCGAACAGACGAGGAGCUUGCUCCUCUGACGUUAGCGGCGGACGGGUGAGUAACACGUGGAUAACCUACCUAUAAGACUGGGAUAACUUCGGGAAACCGGAGCUAAUACCGGAUAAUAUAUUGAACCGCAUGGUUCAAUAGUGAAAGACGGUUUUGCUGUCACUUAUAGAUGGAUCCGCGCCGCAUUAGCUAGUUGGUAAGUUAACGGCUUACCAAGGCAACGAUGCGUAGCCGACCUGAGAGGGUGAUCGGCCACACUGGAACUGAGACACGGUCCAGACUCCUACGGGAGGCAGCAGUAGGGAAUCUUCCGCAAUGGGCGAAAGCCUGACGGAGCAACGCCGCGUGAGUGAUGAAGGUCUUCGGAUCGUAAAACUCUGUUAUUAGGGAAGAACAAAUGUGUAAGUAACUAUGCACGUCUUGACGGUACCUAAUCAGAAAGCCACGGCUAACUACGUG